UACGUAGGGUCCAAGCGUUAUCCGGAAUCACUGGGCGUAAAGCGUGCGUAGGCGGAUGUUUAAGUGUGAUGUUAAAUCGUGUGGCUCAACCAUAUCGAUGCAUCGCAUACUGGGCAUCUAGAGGACGGCAGAGGCAAGUGGAACUCGUAGUGUAGCAGUGAAAUGCGUAGAUAUUACGAAGAACACCAAUGGCGAAGGCAGCUUGCUGGGCCGACACUGACACUGAGAGACGAAAGCUAGGGGAGCGAAUGGG
rnacentral:rRNA from 1 species